rnacentral:rRNA from 1 species
CGGAGGGGUUAGCGUUGUUCGGAAUGACUGGGCGUAAAGCGCGCGUAGGCGGAUCGUCAAGUCGGGGUGAAAUCCCGGGGCUCAACCCCGGAAUGGCCUUCGAGACUGUCGGUCUUGAGUUCGAGAGAGGUGAGUGGAAUUCCGAGUGUAGAGGUGAAAUUCGUAGAUAUUCGGAGGAACACCAGUGGCGAAGGCGGCUCACUGGCUCGACACUGACGCUGAGGUGCGAAAGCGUGGGGAGCAAACAGGAUU